AGCAGCCGCGGUAAUUCCAGCUCCAAUAGCGUAUAUUAAAGUUGUUGCAGUUAAAAGCUCGUAGUUGAAUUUCGGGGUCAGUAGGUUGGUCGUGCCACCGGUACGUACUGGUCUCACUGAUUCCUCCUUCCUGAUGAGCUGUAAUGCCAUUAAUUUGGUGUUGCAGGGAAUUUGGACUGUUACUUUGAAAAAUUGAGUGUUUAAAGCAGGCUUACGCUUGAAUACAUUAGCAAUGGAAUAAUGAAAUAGGACGUUCGAUCCUAUUUUGUUGGUUUCUAGGAUUGACGUAAUGAUUAAUAGGGAUAGUUGGGGGCAUUAGUAUUCAAUUGUCAGAGGUGAAAUUCUUGGAUUUAUUGAAGACUAACUACUGCGAAAGCAUUUGCCAAGGAUGUUUUCAUUAAUCAAAGAACGAAAGUUAGGGAUCGAAGACGAUCAGAUACCGUCGUAGUCUUAACCAUAAACUAUGCCGACUAGGGAUCGGAUG
rnacentral:rRNA from 1 species